rnacentral:rRNA from 1 species
GACGCUGGCGGCAGGCCUAACACAUGCAAGUCGAGCGGCAGCGGGAAAGUAGCUUGCUACUUUUGCCGGCGAGCGGCGGACGGGUGAGUAAUGCCUGGGGAUCUGCCCAGUCGAGGGGGAUAACAGUUGGAAACGACUGCUAAUACCGCAUACGCCCUACGGGGGAAAGGAGGGGACCUUCGGGCCUUUCGCGAUUGGAUGAACCCAGGUGGGAUUAGCUAGUUGGUGGGGUAAUGGCUCACCAAGGCGACGAUCCCUAGCUGGUCUGAGAGGAUGAUCAGCCACACUGGAACUGAGACACGGUCCAGACUCCUACGGGAGGCAGCAGUGGGGAAUAUUGCACAAUGGGGGAAACCCUGAUGCAGCCAUGCCGCGUGUGUGAAGAAGGCCUUCGGGUUGUAAAGCACUUUCAGCGAGGAGGAAAGGUUGGCGCCUAAUACGUGUCAACUGUGACGUUACUCGCAGAAGAAGCACCGGCUAACUCCGUGCCAGCCGCCGCGGUAAUACGUCGUGACUGG